rnacentral:rRNA from 1 species
ACUAAGUCUAACUCGCUCAUGUAGUUUUCCUUAAUUUACUCAUGUUUAUGGCACUAAGGAUUAUAAAUGUUGAGAACCUUAUAUGUCCUAUCUUUUAAAAUUAAAAUCUGAUGCCCCACUCUUCCAGUUGUUAUAAUUACACCUAAGAAAGACAGUACAACAGUAUCAUUGUAGUUGUUGACAGACUAUAAACUAAAAACACAUAAAGUAUAAUUUUCCUACAUUCAUAACAAUAUACACAUAUAAAUAAAAUAUCCUUUCAAUUAUAGUCCACGUAUGUCUCAUCAGCUACAAUAGAUAUCCACGUAUGUCUCAUCAGCAACAGUAGACAUCCACGUUUGUCUCAAAUACACCUAAACUUAUAGUAGUCGAUUAGCACAGGGAAAUGAAGAUGAUACUUCUACCCCACUUUGUAUUUAACUAAACGUUUGUCCCCUUUCUCUCUGGUUUCAUUUCUAAAGUGUCGAGGAUACCUCUACUCCACGGUUAAACGACAUACUUUUUCGUAUCGAACCUCCUUAUGG